AACGUAGGAGCCAAGCGUUAUCCGAAUUCACUGGGCGUAAAGCGCGUGCAGGCGGCUGGGUAAGUUGGAUGUGAAAUCUCCUGGCUCAACUGGGAGAGGCCGUUCAAUACUACCUGGCUUGAGGGCGACAGAGGGAGGUGGAAUUCCGGGUGUAGUGGUGAAAUGCGUAGAUAUCCGGAGGAACACCAGAGGCGAAGGCGACCUCCUGGGUCGUACCUGACGCUGAGGCGCGAAAGCUAGGGGAGCAAACGGG
rnacentral:rRNA from 1 species